GGCCUAACACAUGCAAGUCGAGGGGUAACAGGGAGCUUGCUCCGCUGACGACCGGCGCACGGGUGCGCAACGCGUAUGCAAUCUACCUCUUACUAAGGGAUAGCCCAGAGAAAUUUGGAUUAAUAUCUUAUGUGAUAUUAGACUGGCAUCGGUUUAAUAUUAAAGGUUACGGUAAGAGAUGAGCAUGCGUCUCAUUAGUUAGUUGGUAAGGUAACGGCUUACCAAGACUUCGAUGAGUAGGGGUCCUGAGAGGGAGAUCCCCCACACUGGUACUGAGACACGGACCAGACUCCUACGGGAGGCAGCAGUGAGGAAUAUUGGACAAUGGACGGAAGUCUGAUCCAGCCAUGCCGCGUGUAGGAAGACUGCCCUAUGGGUUGUAAACUACUUUUAUACAGGAAGAAUAAGAUCUACGUGUAGAUUGAUGACGGUACUGUAAGAAUAAGGACCGGCUAACUCCGUGCCAGCAGCCGCGGUAAUACGGAGGGUCCGAGCGUUAUCCGGAAUUAUUGGGUUUAAAGGGUCCGUAGGCGGGCUGUUAAGUCAGAGGUGAAAUGCUGCGGCUCAACCGUAUGCACUGCCUUUGAUACUGGCGGUCUUGAGUUAUAGUGAAGUGGCUAGAAUAAGUAGUGUAGCGGUGAAAUGCAUAGAUAUUACUUAGAAUACCGAUUGCGAAGGCAGGUCACUAACUAUACACUGACGCUGAUGGACGAAAGCGUGGGUAGCGAACAGGAUUAGAUACCCUGGUAGUCCACGCCGUAAACGAUGGAUACUAGCUGUUCGGUUUUCGGACUGAGCGGCCAAGCGAAAGUGAUAAGUAUCCCACCUG
rnacentral:rRNA from 1 species